AGUGGUGAUAGGUAUACAUACUUAGGUGGCAUACCACUUUGUACCACCCUUAGGGAUAUGAUCCCCUCCUGCUUUUAAUAUCAUGUUGUAUGUCUUGUGCAAUUCUAGACUGUUGGAUUGAUCUAAAGGUUGAGACACAAAGAGGGAAGAGAAAAUUAAGGGAGAGAGAAAAGUCUAUCCUAUUCAUAUUUUCCUUCAAUUUUCGUGGGCUUUCUUUCUCAAUCCUCUCUCUUCUUCUUCAACAGGUUCCAUAGGAACUAUAGCCACAAAUAAUCUCUCACUUUGAGUUUGUCGUAUAAAAUAUCUCACUUUGAGUUUGUAAAACAAGCAAUCACAUUUUUUUUUCUGAGUUUCAGUUUUAUCCGCCUACUCUUUAAUAAUGCAGCCCUCAUCAAAACUUGUGAUCCUUUGAGUUUAAAUUGUAUCUUAGAAUACACCACCAAAGCUAGU
rnacentral:lncRNA from 1 species